AAUUUAGAAAGUUUAAGUGACUUACUGUCAGAAUCACAGAAUUUGAGAGAGAAGGGAUCUCAAUGGCUAUCUCAUCUAAGUCAUGUACAGAAGGAAUACCUUUUAUUACUUAACAGAAAGGUAAUUGAUGUGGGGUUUGAACACUGGUCUUCUUCUUCAAAGUUCAAUACUCUAUUAAUUAUACCAUAUUAUCAGAAUUGCUCUUCCUUUUUCUUCUCCUUAUCCCCCAUUUGGGGAUUCUUCUUCCUAGGGCUGCUGAAGGAAGCACUGUCUGCCCUUGGUCUCAUCUUUUCAUCCCAGGCUUCUGACAGAAAGAUUUUUCUUCCAAGAUUGCUGAGAACCGCAAGAGAACCAGAAAAUCAGGUUUGCACUAUGAAAUGCCUACAAUUACAUAGACCAACCAACAUUUUCUAUCCUGACAAUAAACUGUUUGCAGCAGCCCUGGUUUCUUGAUAGUGAUAAUAACUACUCACAAAUGAUGUUUGUUUUAAGAAUAUUGAACAAACACAAAGAAGACUUGUUCCAGAGGUUAAAAACAGAAGAGACCCCAAUGCUCUCAUUAUGGAAAUUCUAUUGUGACCGGCAGCAUAUAUUUUAUUUUUAAUAAGUAGUCCUUGAGUUGGGUGAAUUUGCCUUUUUAGAUCCAGAGGACUCAAGAGUAAAGGCGUUUUUUGAUUCAAAUUCUCACCGCUAUUUAUAGGAUGCUCAUUUUCCAUGCUUAGAAUACUUUCUACAAUGCAGGGAAAAGAGCCAGAUAAAAUAGCUGGGGAGGCCCCUCUGCUGCUUGGUCACUUAGAUGGGUAAUUCUUGAGGACAUGACUUCAAGUACCUGAAAAAGUUCAGCUCUGACCAGUCCAUGUCCAAAAACUGCUCAAAUUUUGAGAGUAUCCCUUGUGUUUUGGUUCAUUCUAGUUGCAGGGGAUCAGAAUGUGCAAUGAGAGCCCUGGGGAGAAGGCAGCGGGUUGAAUGAGUAUGAAAUGCAUUUAGCCAGAAGGUACAAACUGUUUGGAGAGGUAAUGGCUCUCUAACAAAGUACCUUCUUUCUCUGGUUUUCUCUCACUCUUUUACUAUUGGAUCAUAACCAGACUGUACAAUUGUCACAUACAGGAGGAGGGCUGACUCAUGCCUUUCUACGCCAUGCUCUUUUGUACCCAAGCAGAAGGAACUGGCCUGUAUUUGUAAAGAUUGGGGUGGGAAGAAAGGGAAGUGAGGGGCUGUCUGCUUACAAUGGUGCCCUCAUAGCCUCAAAACCCCCAUAAUCUGCUCCUGUCCUAUUCCCACUUCAGGAACUUGCUGGUGGUGGGCAUUGCAUCAGCUGAAUAUGGGAAAGUACAUCUUAGCCCUGGAUUUAGUUCUUCUGAAUAGGAAAAAUCAGCUUUGAUGGAGAUCAGAGCAUUUUUGGUCCAGCCAGAGCUAUAAUUAGGAAUUUCUGCAUUAGGGCAAAUGUCACAUAUCACAACCAGGAAAAGUGGCACAUAGCAUGACCUCAGUUGAGAAGGGACAGGAACAAGGGCAGAAAGAGAGAUAAAAAAGUCAAGGGGGAAGAUCUCACUUCAGUCCACCAUCUGGUGCCUUCCUAUUUUAACUAAUUAAUCUUGCUAUUUAGGUGCUAAGCUCUUUGGUUCCUGUGCUUCAAAAGCUAUUAGUGCUCUGUGAGUUGUUUCCUCUAAAUCUAGUACUCUGAGGCAAAGCUCUGGUCAUUCUGUCUUAGUUACAACUCUGGGUCCUGUCUUCCAGUCUUCUAGAAUAUGUUUAGGAUCCUGCUAGUUACACAGGGACAAACUCAGACUCCCUGAGGGGAUGCUGCUCAGGAGCUCCUGGACCAUCCAGACCCACCUGCUCACAACAGGUCUACAGCCCAUCGAUUAUUUAGAAAGCCACAAUGACACCCUCUGUGGCACCAGAAUAUUUUUAACCACUUCUAUUUUAUCCUAACUGGGCAAUCCCGUUUAUCUUGAAUAGUUCUAGUUUUUGAUGCCUUGUACUGGUUAGACAAUAUUCUAAUAGAUUAUUUUCUUUUUUGUUUGUUCCUUUAAAAGUAUUUUAUUGAUGCUCUUUUCUUUUUUAUAUUACUGUCACUUUUUAAUGAUUUCCCUUUCUCCUGCUACCACAGAACUCUUCCUCCCUCAUAACAAAAAAACAUAGUCAAAAUAAAUCAACACAUUGGUUAUGUCUGAAAAUGUAUGACUUAUUUCUUACCUAAGAUUCACCACUUCCCUUUUUCGAGAAGGGGGAAAUGUUUCAUCAUCUGUUUUCUGAAACCAUAGUUGGUCUAAUAUUACAUUGAGAUCUUAUAGCAUUAUUUUCC
rnacentral:lncRNA from 1 species